rnacentral:rRNA from 1 species
AUGAACGCUCGCGGCAGGCCUAACACAUGCAAGUCGAGGGAUAAGCCUUCGGGCUAAGACCGGCGCACGGGUGCGUAACGCGUAUACAAUCUGCCUUUUAUCCGGGGGAUAGCCCGAAGAAAUUUGGAUUAAUACCCUAUGGUAUAAGAGCACGGCAUCGUGCACUUAUUAAAGCUACGGCGGUAAAAGAUGAGUAUGCGUUCUAUUAGCUAGUUGGAGAGGUAACGGCUCCCCAAGGCGACGAUAGAUAGGGGUUCUGAGAGGGAUGUCCCCCACACUGGUACUGAGAUACGGACCAGACUCCUACGGGAGGCAGCAGUGAGGAAUAUUGGACAAUGGUCGGAAGACUGAUCCAGCCAUGCCGCGUGCAGGAUGACGGCCUUAUGGGUUGUAAACUGCUUUUGUAAGGGAAGAAUAAGGAGUACGUGUACUUUGAUGACGGUACCUUACGAAUAAGCAUCGGCUAACUCCGUG